rnacentral:rRNA from 1 species
UACGGAGGGGACUAGCGUUGUUCGGAAUUACUGGGCGUAAAGCGCACGUAGGCGGAUUUGUAAGUCAGGGGUGAAAUCCCGGGGCUCAACCUCGGAACUGCCUUUGAUACUGCAAAUCUCGAGUCCGGAAGAGGUGAGUGGAAUUCCUAGUGUAGAGGUGAAAUUCGUAGAUAUUAGGAAGAACACAGUGGCGAAGGCGGCUCACUGGUCCGGUACUGACGCUGAGGUGCGAAAGCGAUGGGGAGCAAACGG